AACGAACGCUGGCGGCAUGCCUAACACAUGCAAGUCGAACGAGACCUUCGGGUCUAGUUGCGCACGGGUGCGUAACGCGUGGGAACCUGCCCUUAGGUUCGGAAUAACUCCCCGAAAGGGGUGCUAAUACCGGAUAAUGUCUUCGGACCAAAGAUUUAUCGCCUUUGGUUGUGCCCUCGUUGGAUUAGCUUGUUGGUAGGGUAAAAGCCUACCAAGGCGACGAUCCAUAGCUGGUCUGAGAGGAUGAUCAGCCACACUGGGACUGAGACACGGCACAGACUACUACGGGAGGGAGCAGUGGGGAAUAUUGGAAAAUGGGCGAAAGCAUGAUAAAGCAAUGCCGCGUGAGUGAUGAAGGCCUUAGGGUUGUAAAGCUCUUUUACCCGGGAUGAUAAUGACAGUACCGGGAGAAUAAGCUCCGGCUAACUCCGUG
rnacentral:rRNA from 1 species